ensembl:lncRNA
AUCCCACAUAGACAAUGGAGGAAGAUUGGCAGAGAUGUCAGCUCAGGGACAAUCUUCCUCAAGCAAAAAGAGGAAGAUUGGCAAUAGUUGUUAGCCCAGGGCCAAUCUUCCUCAUCAAAACAAAAAAGAAAAACAAGCAGGGGCUGGCCCAGUUGGCAUAGUGCUUAAGUUUGCACACUCUGCUUUAGCGGCCCAGGGUUUGCAGGUUCGGAUCCCUGGCAUGGACCAAGAAGACUGGCAGUGGGCAACAGAUGUUAGCUCAGUGCCAAUCUUCCUCAAGCAAAAAGAAGAGGAAGAUUGGCAACAGAUGUUAACUCUGGGCCAAUCUUCCUCACUAAAACAUUUUAAAAAUUAAAAAAAAAACAAGCAAAGAAAACAGAAAAUCUGAUUCAAACUAUGGGUUAGGAUUAAGUUCAGUUGUGAAUAAGAGAAAAAAUAACAGCGGUUUAAAUGUAAGAGAAGCUUAUUUCUCACUUUCAAGAAAAUAAGAAAGUCCACACUGGAAUGGUGCUCCUUGGGGGCAGGGACACACACAUCUUCCAUAAUUUCCAUUCCCAAUGACAUCCCCUGGUCCAAGAUGGCUGCUAAAACUCAAGUCAUUAAGUCUAUAUUCCACUUUGUUGAUCCUGUUCUCAGAAAGGCUCUCCCUCAUGCUUGUAAGAUGGCUGCAGCAGCCUCAGGCUUUAUCUUCGCGAAGCUUCGAAUCCAGUGAAAAAGAGCAAGAUCCUCUUUUCUAGAAAUACUAGCAAGUUAGACUGGUGUCCCAUUGAUUCCGAUUGGGUCACAUGACUCUUGCUGUGGCCAGGGGAAUGUGAUGUCCUGAUCGCCUUAGAUCUAGACAGCUACCCACCUCUGGGCUGAGAGUGUGGGCAGCAUGGACCCCAGAGGGAAAUUUAGCUCAAUGUUUUACCAGAAGAAGGACAGAGACACUAAGUCGCUUGCCCACAUAUCCACACAACUGUGAAGUUAGGACUCAAACCCUACCGUGUGACAGCAGAGUCCCUCCUCUUCUUACCCUGGUGCCUUAAUAGGUUCAAAGCGAGGUGAUAUGGCUAUGGGAUGGAGAAGGGGGGAAGACUUCCUGGAAGAGCCGAGUUAAUGAACAAUAGGUAUGACUUAGAUGCCCAGGAAACUGAAGUAAAAGCAUCACAGGCAGGGGGAUUUUCUUGCGUGUGUGUGCGUGUGUGCGUGUGUGUGUGUCCACAGGCUCUCCCAUGCACCCACACCAGAAGCAAAGGCACUCAGAGUGAACCGACCUGCAGCCAUUCAGUCAAUACAGGACUAGGAACUGCUUCCGUGCCCUCCCCUUCCUCUCAAGGUUUUGAGUAGAGACAUUAAUCAAUCAAUCAGGAAAAUUUAUUGAGUGUUUACUAUGCUUUCAGAACUCUUCUAGACUCUGUGGGACACACAAAACAACUCUCCAUCAAUCCAGCGAUUAUAUAUUGAAUAUUUACUACGUGAGAAGCCCCGUACUAAAUAUUAUGGGAGGUCCAAAGUUAAACAAGCUGUUGAUCCUUUGCCAGGAAGUUUACUGUCGAGUGAAGGGUACAAGGUAAGUGCUCAGACAAAUACAAUGUAAGGCAACAUAUGAUCAGAGAAGGAAAGAGGUGUCAGUCUGUCUGUUUGUUAAUGGAGGAAGGGAGUUUGAGCUGGAGUUGAAGCUUCUGACCCAGCUGCAUUGGGCCUGGCUGGACAGACGACUUUCCAGCGACUUUAUCAAAGCUGUUGGCCUCCUGAUUUUGGAGCUGAAUGCAGGAAAGCCGCUCACAGAAGCCCUUACCCUGGGCGGCAAAUUGGAAUCAUCUGGGGAGAUUCUGCAACACAGCUGCCUGAGGUUCCACCCUGACUAGCUGCGUCAGCAUCGGGGGGCUUGGCGCGUCAGGACUGUAUUUUCUUUUUAAAGCUUCGCCGGGUGACUUUGGUGCAGUCAGGGUUGAAACGUGGGCCUCAAUCUCUUGCAGUAGGUCAGAGAGGGGAGGGGGAGCAGGCCAAGGCAAGCUGAGGACGACGGUGGAGGAAGAAUCAAGGGUCCCGCCGAGAGACGAGACACAGGCAGUACAGAAAAGGGCAUCAGAGAUGACUUCCAGAAACAAGCGAUGAAGCCCAGAACUGCCACCGUGGAGAAUGCGCUGGGCAAGAAGAGUCCAGAGCCCGUUAGACUUGAACAUGGGUCAGGUCUGCCCUCUUUCUCUCCUAACGUUUCGGGAAGCAGCAGUCUCCAGGGCGUUUGUCCUGAUGCCCCCACCAGUUUUUAAAGCCCCUUAAAGGCCCUCAUUGUGCAGGGAAUCCGCACUCGCAGCGUUGCAGCAUCUUUUCAUCACAAGCAAGUACACCUGGGGAGCUUGAAAUGAUAACCACGAGAAGGGCUAAGAGCUAGCGGGUGUUCACGGGGCGCUGGGGCCGCGCUAAAGCUUUACUGCAUUAUUUCAUAUGAUCCCCUCAACGAUCCCAACAAACAAGCCCAGCUCUUACCCUCCUGUCACGGGCGAGGAAACUGAGACCCAAACAAGUUAAGGAACUUGCUAGAGGUUCCCCAUCUCCAGCAGAGCAGAGGGACUAAAAUGUUGUCAAUUGACCAAAUGGGUGCUUAAGUCACUUUAUUUUCCUUUGUAAAAAUAUCUUGUAUGUAGAGUCUUCGUGGCCCAGUUUUCAUUGGCUGAAGUUUUGCUGAACUUCUGUUCCACCAGAGACAGAGCAAGGUAGGAUCCGGGAUCCACUCAGAGGGCAUUCGGAGCUGAUGAGAGGCGCACAGGGAUCUCCGGAGGAUUAGGAACCAGGAACCGUGGAUCAUUUCAUUUCCUUUUCACAGCAAGUCAAUGAGAAAGCUGAUGUUCAGCGAGGUUAAGAAUCUUGCCCAAGCAGCCCUGGAAAAAAGCGAAGGUGGGGUUUGAACCCAUUUGAACCUAAAAACGUGCUUUUACAUCCUAACACUGGCACCGCCCCUAGUGUAUCUGGGGACUAACCUAGGACGCGGACCUAAUGGGCAACAUCGAUGAACAAUCUCCCUAGUGUGUUCCUCUACCAUGCUCCCCCACCAUCCCAGACUCAUAUUCUCUGCUCCCUGCUCUCCCACCUGCCCUUCCCUAUUGGGGCGGGACCCCGGCUCUGGCUCCAGCUGCAGGACAAGCCCCUCCUAAAAAGCUCAGUGAGUGGCUUCAGGUGGCAACGGAGAUCAACAGGGGAGGCCUGUGGAAAAUGUGCUCAGGAAC